rfam:Camelus ferus unplaced genomic scaffold scaffold486, whole genome shotgun sequence.
GGGGCUAUAGCUCAGUGGUAGAGUGUGUGCAUGAGGUCCUGGGUUCAAUCCCCAGUACCGCCA